rnacentral:rRNA from 1 species
CCCUUAGAUGAUUUGGGCUGCACGCGCGCUACACUGACCCUAACAAUGAGCAACUGUCUGGCCUGAGAUGGCUGGGUAGCCUUUUCAACCCAUGUCAUGAUUGGGCUAGAUUUUUGUAAGUCUUGAUCUCUAACGAGGAAUCCCUAGUAUGCGUGAAUCAUCAAUCCAUGCAGAUUAUGUCCCUGCCCUUUGUACACACCGCCCGUCGCUUCUACUGAUUGGGUGAUCCGGUGAGCUGUUCGGCCAUAGCAAUGUUUCUUGAGCAGGGCAAUGAAUGUUUCGCAAACCUUGCCACUUAGAGGAAGGAGAAGUCGUAACA